rnacentral:tRNA from 1 species
GGAGGCAUGGUGUAAUGGAUAGCAUAUGGGGUUUCGAACCCUGUGAUCCCGGUUCGAAUCCGGGUGCCUUCACCA